AUGGCGUCCAUGCUGUGCUCCUACUCCGUCUCCAUGCCCGCCGCCGCCAGGGCUCCGCUCCUCCGGUCCAACUCCCUCGGGUUCGCCACCUCGCAGCUCGCCGGCCUCAGCCUCGGCCUCACCUCCACGGCCGCGGUCUCCCUCCCCACCAAGAACACCAUCGUCGCGCGCCGGAUCUGCCCCUUCUUGGAGAAGAAGACGAACCGGGCCAACAAGGUGUCCUUCUCCAACCACAAGACCAAGAAGCAGCAGUUUGUCAACCUGCAGUACAAGAAGCUGUGGUGGGAGGCCGGCAAGCGCUACGUCAAGCUCAGGCUCUCCACCAAGGCCCUCAAGACCAUCGAGAAGCACGGCCUCGACGCCGUCGCCAACAAGGCCGGGGUCGACCUCAACAAGAAAUGA
rnacentral:rRNA from 1 species